rnacentral:rRNA from 1 species
GUGGCAAGCGUUGUCCGGAUUUAUUGGGUGUAAAGGGUGCGUAGGCGGUAAUACAGGUCUGCGGUAUAAGUCCGAAGCGUAACUUCGGUUCGCCGCAGAAACCGUAUAACUAGAGUAUGGUAGAGGCAAGUGGAAUUUCUAGUGUAGCGGUAAAAUGCGUAGAUAUUAGAAGGAACACCAGUGGCGAAGGCGACUUGCUGGGCCAAAACUGACGCUGAGGCACGAAAGCGUGGGGAGCGAAU